CCUACGGGAGGCAGCAGUAGGGAAUCUUCCACAAUGGGCGAAAGCCUGAUGGAGCAACGCCGCGUGGGUGAAGAAGGUCUUCGGAUCGUAAAACCCUGUUGUUAGAGAAGCAAGUGCGGGAGAGUAACUGUUCACGUUUCGACGGUAUCUAACCAGAACGCCACGGCUAACUCCGUGCCAGCAGCCGCGGUAAUACGUAGGUGGCAAGCGUUAACCGGAUUUAUUUGGAGUAAAGGGAACGCAGGCGGUCUUUUAUGUCUGAUGGGAAAGCCUUCGGCUUAACCGGAGUAGUGCAUUGGAAACUGGGAGACGUGAGUGCAGAAGAGGAGAGUGGAACUCCAGGUGUAGCGGUGAAAUGCGUAGAUAUAUGGAAGAACACCAGUGGCGAAAGCGGCUCUCUGGUCUGUAACUGACGCUGAGGUUCGAAAGCGUGGGUAGCAAACAGGAGUAGAUACCCGGGUAGUC
rnacentral:rRNA from 1 species